rnacentral:lncRNA from 1 species
UGAACGCUCCGGGCGACGAUGCAAGCGGAGGGGAAUGUCAAAAAGGCGGCGGCCGGGCCGGCGAUUCACGCGCCGCGAGCGCGAGGGACCUGUCGAGACAGCACCCGCCAGCGAGCGCGACGCUUGCGAUCGAUGUGCCCGCGGUUCGCGGUAAGCGCGCGGCGCGGGGCGGGGGAAUAUGCACGCGUCAUUGCCAUCGCCGCGCGCCACCUGCGUUUGUCGGCCGGCACGCCCGGCGGCCGUUUCCCAUUUUC